CUCAGACUGUCGAACAUACCACUACGGAUAAUCAAGAAAAAAUAACAGUUAACACUUCAGUUCCAAUAUCACCACUCAAUAUAAUUCAAAAUGAGGUGAAGCACGUCUUAGAGAAUGUCGUGAAUAAUGUGUUGAUAUUGGAAAGCGAUAGAAUGCAAAGAAAUGUCGAAAAUAACAUUCAAGACAUCAAAAUACUAUUAGAAGAUAUAAUUCAAGAAAUUUUAUUAUCUUUGGACGAAAAACAACCGCCUCGAGAAAAGAGUUUUCAAGUUCUUCCGAAUAAGACAGAUACUGCCACGAAUUUAGACAAAACGGACUGUGGUAAUUCCGAAAAAAUAAAUU